CUGUGGUGCUGCUGGGAUGAUGAUGAUGAUGAUGAUCAUCAUCAUCAUCAUCAUCAUCAUACCCC